UAACUUGAGAGUUUGAUCCUGGCUCAGGACGAACGCUGGCGGCAUGCCUAACACAUGCAAGUCGAACGAGAAAGUUCCUUCGGGAGCAAUUAAAGUGGCGCACGGGUGAGUAACGCGUAGACAAUCUGCCCUUCAG
rnacentral:rRNA from 1 species